rnacentral:rRNA from 1 species
UACUCGAGCGGCGAACGGGUGAGUAACACGUGAGCAACCUGCCCUAGGCUUUGGGAUAACCCUCGGAAACGGGGGCUAAUACCGGAUAUUCACUUGCGGACGCAUGUUUGUGGGUGGAAAGUUUUUCGGCUUGGGAUGGGCUCGCGGCCUAUCAGCUUGUUGGUGGGGUGAUGGCCUACCAAGGCGACGACGGGUAGCCGGCCUGAGAGGGCGACCGGCCACACUGGGACUGAGACACGGCCCAGACUCCUACGGGAGGCAGCAGUGGGGAAUAUUGCACAAUGGGCGGAAGCCUGAUGCAGCGACGCCGCGUGAGGGAUGACGGCCUUCGGGUUGUAAACCUCUUUCAGCAGGGACGAAGCGUGAGUGACGGUACCUGCAGAAGAAGCGCCGGCCAACUACGUGCCAGCAGCCGCGGUAAGACGUAGGGCGCGAGCGUUGUCCGGAUUUAUUGGGCGUAAAGAGCUCGUAGGCGGCUUGUCGCGUCGACUGUGAAAACCCGUGGCUCAACUGCGGGCCUGCAGUCGAUACGGGCAGGCUAGAGUUCGGUAGGGGAGACUGGAAUUCCUGGUGUAGCGGUGAAAUGCGCAGAUAUCAGGAGGAACACCGGUGGCGAAGGCGGGUCUCUGGGCCGAUACUGACGCUGAGGAGCGAAAGCGUGGGGAGCGAACAGGAUUAGAUACCCUGGUAGUCCACGCUGUAAACGUUGGGCGCUAGGUGUGGGGG